AAUAAAUGCAACUAUGAGUUUCCGUGUCCAACUUUAAUCGUCCGUCUUAUUUGAUUUUUUUUGUUUUGAAAAACUAAAAAACAUAAGUCAAUUCAUGUUUUAUAAUCUAAUAGCAAUAAAAAUAUUAAUUAUAAAAAAUUUUAAAUAAGACGAAUGAUUAAAAUUGAAUACGGAAACUCAUGGUUGUGCUUAUU
rnacentral:pre_miRNA from 1 species